GACGAACGCUGGCGGCGUGCUUAACACAUGCCAGUCGAACGGAAAGGCCCUGCUUUUGUGGGGUGCCCGAGUGGCGAACGGGUGAGUAACACGUGAGUAACCUGCCCUUGACUUUGGGAUAACUUCAGGAAACUGGGGCUAAUACCGGAUAGGAGCUCCUGCUGCAUGGUGGGGGUUGGAAAGUUUCGGCGGCUGGGGAUGGACUCGCGGCUUAUCAGCUUGUUGGUGGGGUAGUGGCUUACCAAGGCUUUGACGGGUAGCCGGCCUGAGAGGGGGACCGGCGACAUAGGGACUGAGAGACGGCCCAGACUCCUACGGGGGGCAGAAGUGGGGAAUAUUGCAGAAUGGGCGGAAGCCUGAUGCAGAAACGCCGCGUGCGGGAGGACGGCCUUCGGGUUUUAAACCGCGUUCGCCGGUGACGAAGCGUGAGUGACGGUAAUGGGUAAAGAAGCACCGGCUAACUACGUG
rnacentral:rRNA from 1 species